rnacentral:rRNA from 1 species
GAUGAACGCUGGCGGCGUGCCUAAUACAUGCAAGUCGAGCGAAUGGACGAGAAGCUUGCUUCUCUGAUGUUAUCGGCGGACGGGUGAGUAACACGUGGAUAACCUACCUAUAAGACUGGGAUAACUUCGGGAAACCGGAGCUAAUACCGGAUAAUAUUUUGAACCGCAUGGUUCAAAAGUGAAAGACGGUCUUGCUGUCACUUAUAGAUGGAUCCGCGCUGCAUUAGCUAGUUGGUAAGGUAACGGCUUACCAAGGCAACGAUGCAUAGCCGACCUGAGAGGGUGAUCGGCCACACUGGAACUGAGACACGGUCCAGACUCCUACGGGAGGCAGCAGUAGGGAAUCUUCCGCAAUGGGCGAAAGCCUGACGGAGCAACGCCGCGUGAGUGAUGAAGGUCUUCGGAUCGUAAAACUCUGUUAUUAGGGAAGAACAUAUGUGUAAGUAACUGUGCACAUCUUGACGGUACCUAAUCAGAAAGCCACGGCUAACUACGUG